GGGCCCGCACAAGCGGCGGAGCAUGUGGCUUAAUUCGAGGCAACGCGAAGAACCUUACCUGGGUUGAACUACGUAGGAAAAGCCGUAGAGAUACGGUGUCCGCAAGGGCCUGCGAUAGGUGGUGCAUGGCUGUCGUCAGCUCGUGUCGUGAGAUGUUGGGUUAAGUCCCGCAACGAGCGCAACCCUUGUCCUAUGUUGCCAGCGGGUAAUGCCGGGGACUCGUAGGAGACUGCCGGGGUCAACUCGGAGGAAGGUGGGGAUGACGUCAAGUCAUCAUGCCCCUUACGCCCAGGGCUGCACACAUGCUACAAUGGCCGGUACAAAGGGCUGCUAUCCCGCGAGGGUGAGCGAAUCCCAAAAAGCCGGUCUCAGUUCGGAUUGCAGUCUGCAACUCGACUGCAUGAAGUCGGAGUCGCUAGUAAUCCCGGAUCAGCAACGCCGGGGUGAAUACGUUCCCGGGCCUU
rnacentral:rRNA from 1 species